rnacentral:rRNA from 1 species
UACGGAGGGGGCUAGCGUUGUUCGGAAUUACUGGGCGUAAAGCGUGCGCAGGCGGUUGUGCAAGACAGAUGUGAAAUCCCCGGGCUUAACCUGGGAACUGCAUUUGUGACUGCACGGCUAGAGUGUGUCAGAGGAGGGUAGAAUUCCACGUGUAGCAGUGAAAUGCGUAGAUAUGUGGAGGAAUACCGAUGGCGAAGGCAGCCCCCUGGGAUAACACUGACGCUCAUGCACGAAAGCGUGGGGAGCAAACAGG